AUGAAUCUCUUAGCCUGGAGCUGUCGUGGCUUGGGGUUGGACUCGACAGUUGGCGAAUUGCGGGACCUGAUACGGUCACACAACCCAGCGGUGGUAUUUCUUAGUGAAACAAAAAAGUCAGCAAAAGCAAUGGAAAGACUGAAAUGGAGUUUGGGUUUCCGAAGUGGAGUAGCGGUGGAUAGCAACGGAAGAAGUGGGGGCUUGCCUUGUGGUGGAGGGAGCAUAUCCAGGUCACGGUGA
rnacentral:rRNA from 1 species